UAACACAUGCAAGUCGAACGAGAAUCUACUGAAAGAGUUUUCGGACAAUGGAAGUAGAGGAAAGUGGCGGACGGGUGAGUAACGCGUGAGGAACCUGCCUUGAAGAGGGGGACAACAGUUGGAAACGACUGCUAAUACCGCAUGAAGCAUAGGGGUCGCAUGAUCUUUAUGCCAAAGAUUUAUCGCUUCAAGAUGGCCUCGCGUCUGAUUAGCUAGUUGGCGGGGUAACGGCCCACCAAGGCGACGAUCAGUAGCCGGACUGAGAGGUUGAACGGCCACAUUGGGACUGAGAUACGGCCCAGACUCCUACGGGAGGCAGCAGUGGGGAAUAUUGGGCAAUGGGCGCAAGCCUGACCCAGCAACGCCGCGUGAAGGAAGAAGGCUUUCGGGUUGUAAACUUCUUUUAAGAGGGAAGAGCAGAAGACGGUACCUUUAGAAUAAGCCACGGCUAACUACGUGCCAGCAGCCGCGGUAAUACGUAGGUGGCAAGCGUUGUCCGGAUUUACUGGGUGUAAAGGGCGUGCAGCCGGGUCUGCAAGUCAGAUGUGAAAUCCAUGGGCUCAACCCAUGAACUGCAUUUGAAACUGUAGAUCUUGAGUGUCGGAGGGGCAAUCGGAAUUCCUAGUGUAGCGGUGAAAUGCGUAGAUAUUAGGAGGAACACCAGUGGCGAAGGCGGAUUGCUGGACGAUAACUGACGGUGAGGCGCGAAAGUGUGGGGAGCAAACAGGAUUAGAUACCCUGGUAGUCCACACUGUAAACGAUGAAUACUAGGUGUGCGGGGACUGACCCCCUGCGUGCCGCAGUAAACACAAUAAGUAUUCCACCUGGGGAGUACGAUCGCAAGG
rnacentral:rRNA from 1 species